rnacentral:piRNA from 1 species
UGAAUAGAGAGCUACAAGUGCUUGGUCUUU